ACAUGCAAGUCGAGGGCAUCAUGAUCUAGCUGCUAGAAUGAUGGCGACCGGCGCACGGGUGAGUAACGCGUAUCCAACCUCCCUAUAGUAGAGGAUAGCCCGGCGAAAGUCGGAUUAAUACUCUAUGUUGUUCAAUGCGGACAUCCAAGUUGAACCAAAGGUUUACCGCUAUAGGAUGGGGAUGCGUCUGAUUAGAUGGUAGGCGGGGUAACGGCCCACCUAGUCGACGAUCAGUAGGGGUUCUGAGAGGAAGGUCCCCCACAUUGGAACUGAGACACGGUCCAAACUCCUACGGGAGGCAGCAGUGAGGAAUAUUGGUCAAUGGGCGAGAGCCUGAACCAGCCAAGUAGCGUGCAAGGAUGACGGCCCUAUGGGUUGUAAACUGCUUUUAUAUAGGGAUAAAGUGCACUACGUGUAGUGUUUUGUAGGUACUAUAUGAAUAAGGACCGGCUAAUUCCGUGCCAGCAGCGGC
rnacentral:rRNA from 1 species